AACAGUUUGGAAACUACAAAAGUUUCCCUGGCAGGAUGAAUGAUUGACUCGGCAACAUGUUCUUGCCUUUUGGAGUUGCCCUCCAAUUUUUCCAGGCUUGAUUCUGUAAAUCAUUUCAUCUUGUAAAAAUACUGGGCUGUGAGCACGGAUGAUCUCAAAGAUGAGGAAACAGAAGCUGGGAUAUGUGAGUAAACAUUUCCAAGGUCCUGCAGCUAAUCAAUGGUUGACAACUUCUUUCCUCUGCCUAUGUUGCCAUCCAUGUCAUGGUUUGUGUCAAGACUCUAGGAGAAGUCUACCAUCAGCACCACAGCUACUGUGCACAAAUCCAGAAUGCCAGACUGAAGUCAGAAGGAAAGGGAAAUGUUCUUAUCACCCAUUCCUGUCAGAGAUGAUGCAGCUCAUUGCUGAUGCUGAGAUCCAACGUCCAGUGCCUGAGUACCCCUGGAUUCUGAGCACUAGGGGCUGGACUGUGGAGACCAUCAGUUCAUAACAUCCUGUCCCUGCUCCCUGCUGUAGAUGACUGAGACCAGGUAACAAAGACACUUAACUUCAUAAAUUAAAAAUGUGUAAAUUAUAAAAUACAUUUUUAAUUAUAGAAUGAAUUGAUGUUCAGCAAAGAAAAGUUGAAUGUAAUAAAACUCUCAUUUAUUUCCAUUAUUUGCUUUCAUCAUCAAAGGAAAAAAAGCAUCUCUCUGAAGUUAAAUGGCAUUUCAUUUUGAUUAAUUGUAGAAAGAAGAUUGGAAAAAUCUCCCAUGACCAAGGAAAAUUGUGAAAAAUAUUUCUGAUAUUUUGUCUAUGCAUUUUAUUUUUGAGGGUGUUUUUUAUAUUAGUGUGACUAUUUUGUAUUUCCUACCCUGUUGUAAACUUUUUAAAAAUUGCUCUUACAGUUAUUACUAAGUAUAUGAUUUAAAAUCCCUAAUUAGGGUUCUUAAACAAGGGAGAAGCACUCUCAUACCCCUAGAACAAGAUGAACAAAAGAAGGAGGAAAAAUCUUGACCUCCGUAAGAUCCAGGAUGGCACGUGCAAGGCACUGACACAGCAUCUGCCGGCAUCACUGACUCUCCUGGACCCCAGAAGCCCAGUUCCCCAGGCUCUGAAACCCUGCAGCAAUGAAAAGGAAGCACAGGCAAACCAUAAGGAAGAUAAUUUUUCUACUAAAAAAUAAAUAGAAAUGCAUCCUUAGAGGCAGGUUUCAUGAGGACACAGAGAAUCCGGUUUUGUGUGUGCCUGAUUUCGUUUUUCUGUCAAAGAGAUACAAAACAAUCAACUGAGUUAUCUUGAACUUACAAAGAUUAAAAAUAAUCAAUUCCUGUUACUAUUUUCAAUUUUUCCCCCAUUUUACUUCUUUAGGUAUGAAGAAAUGUAGCCUAUUAAAACCUGGAUUAAUAAAAACCUUUCAUUAACUUUUA
rnacentral:lncRNA from 1 species